AUAAGUUGAUGCUUUCAAUUUUGUUUUUAUUAGAGAAUGAGACAUUUAAAUGGCCAACCAAUUUACAAUAUCUAGACUUGAGUUCAAACCGUUUGAGCAACAAAUCUCUUUCAUCUCUGAAUGACCUUCCACAUCUCCAAUAUCUUGAUUUAAGUCAAAAUCAAUUAGAAGGAGCACUAGACAUAAGAGGUAGGUAUUUUUUAUCCAUUAUUUUAGGACAUUCAUUAUUUAUUCUAAUGUUUUAGAAUUAAUAUUUAAUUAUUCAUUUACUUUGCAUAAUGAUACAACAUUAUAGAUAUAUUAGGGUAAAUUAAUAUAAACAUCCAUAUCAAUAGAAAUAUACUUUAUAUUCAUGUAAACAUAUUCUUUUUAUAUCAAUACCACUCUCAUCUUAACAAUUACAUUUUCAUACCAAACAAGUUGCACAAAAAAAUUACUAUUGAAUUACUUUCAUCUAAGAUAUAUCAGAAUAACAUUUUAGGCUUAACUUUCUCAACUAUUAAGAAUAAAAUAUACUUAUAAUCCAUUAUCAUUUCUAUAUAAUGAAUUAUGUUUAUUAAUAAUAAACAUAAAGAUCUACGCAUGCUCCUUAUCCUUAGUGAAUAUUGAUAAGUUGAUGUUUUCAAUUUUAUUUUUAUCAGAGAAUGAGACAUUUAAAUGGCCAACCAAUUUACAACAUCUAGAACUGGGUGAGAACAGUUUGAGCAACGAAUUUCUUUCAUCUCUGAAGAACCUUCCACAUCUCCAAUAUCUUGAUUUACGCUACAAUCAAUUAGAAGGAGCUGUAGAUAUAAGCGGUCAGUAUUUUAAUUUUUUAUUUUAUUAAAAUAUUA
rnacentral:lncRNA from 1 species